GGGGCGUGGCCAGCGAGUGUCGGAGGACGAGUUGGCCGAGGGUAAAGUUAAAGGACGCGGUAUCUGGGCGCGGAAGCAAUACUCAGACAAAAGCAGAACAUAACGAGGAUCAAGCUUGGGGACAGGACACUUAAAAAGAAAAGAAAAAGAUGAACCGUGCUCACUUUUGGACGUUUUCCUUGACCAUCUUGUGUCACGUUAUGGCCGCGGAUAGCGCAGGAAAGGGUCGCGGUUUCAUCGGUUUCAUUGACCCACAGUCCUCGGACCUGGUGGUGGUUGACCGCGCCACCUCCGAGACCUUACAGAGCGGCCUCACCACUGUCUUCCUGCCGAUCAUCUACAUCGUGGUGUUCGUGGUGGGCCUGCCUACCAACGCCAUGGCCAUCUGGGUCUUCCUGUUCCGCACCAAGAAGAAGCACCCGUCGUCCAUCUACAUGGCCAACCUGGCUCUGGCCGACCUGCUUUUUGUCAUCUGGACACCUCUCAAGAUCGCCUACCACCUGGCCGGCAACGACUGGACGUACGGCGAGGGACUCUGCAAGGUCCUGGUGGGCUUCUUCUACGGGAACAUGUACUGUUCCAUCCUAUUCAUCGCCUGCCUCAGUGUGCAGCGCUACUGGGUAGUAGCACAUCCGCUUUCCCAACAGCGCAAGAACAAUAAGGUGGCGCUGGGCGUGUGCAUCGCCAUCUGGGUUUUCAUCUGGCUCACCACCACGCCACUCUACCUUUACCAGCACACGGCCCAGUUGCGCGAGCCCGCCAUCACCACUUGUCACGACGUCAACAUCAUCCUGGAUCCCUUGGACCCCUUCGCAUCGGUCCGCCUGCCUUAUUUUUACUUUGUACUGAUGGGCAUGGUGGUGUUCUUGGUGCCUUGUGUCGUUAUCGUGGUGGCCUACGUUCUGCUUCUGCGGGCGCUGGGCCGCGGAAGGAAGGACGGCGCGGCGGCCAAGAACCGGCGGCGGGCGGUGGUGUUGAUCAUGGUGGUGCUGGUCAUCUUCCUGGUGUGCUUCGUCCCCAGUAAUAUCAUGCUGGUGCUGCACUAUUCGCUGCUCAAGGACGGCGCGACGGACAAUGGCUACGCCUUCUACGUCACCACGCUGUGCCUGGCUAGCCUCAACAGCAUUCUGGACCCGUUCAUCUACUACUUUGUGUCCGACGACUUCCGCCAGCACGUCAAAAACACGCUGCUGUGCCGCAGCAGCCGGACGGUGGAGCGCAUGCGAGUGUCCUUCAGUUCCAUGAAGUACUCCAAAAGGAGCAAGUCGUUUGUGUCAGACUCAGGGAAUACGCAGAGCAGCUCGUGCUAGCAGGGGGACCGGCCAAAGAUGGACUUAAUCUGCUUUAGGUUGUCGUCCGCCCAGGCUGGAAUUCGCAGAAUGCGGCUUUCUCCAUGGCUGGCCCAGUCUUGUCCUUCCCAGAUAAGAAACUGUUCAUCAGGGAAAAGUGACCUCAAGCAACCCGCAGAUGACGUUCCAUUGAGCGGUAAGCUGAAUCUAUGUCAGCCCCUGUGGACAAAAAUCCCCCCCCCCUGCUCCCAACCUCGGGGUCUGUAAUUAAAGGCUACCUGGGUCAGGCGAGCCAGCUUCAGGUAAAUGAUUAUUAACAAGUGUCCUGUUACCUUUUGUUGUUUGUUACUGUUUUGUUUGCUAGUCACGUUAAACCUGUGCAAGCAGACAAAAGGUCUUUCUGAAUCCCAAGGACAGAAGACAAUUGCAUGCAUUUGUUCAUCUCAAAAAACACUUAUCUGCAGCUCGUACUUUGCAGUCUGCAGCCAACAGACCAGCCUGUGUGUAAUGUAGCCCCCCCCCCCCAUUUCUUGUAUCUUAGAGACUGAACCAGUAACUGAAUUAUAAGUUAAGGUUGUGUACUGUCUCCACUAUCAAUUUGAAAUUAUCCCCUGUAUUUGUACAAUAAAAUGAUAGACAUUUGGAAAGAAUGAUUUUAAUUGGAUUCAUCAAUUGCUAAAUUCAUUGAUAUUACAAUAAUCGCUAAUGAGCAUCUCUAAAGUUGGAAAAUAUGCAGCUCAUUCAUAUAUAAGCAGUAGGACUGGGUUUUAAAAACGAUCAAUACAUUUGAAUCGAUUUUCCCUUUCAUAACCCGAUGUCGAGUCAUAAAACCAUAAAUCGAACGUAUAUGUGCCAUUUAGAGGUAAUUCUUCAUUCCGCCACAGGGUAGCCGUAUAACUACGGUAAUACCCGGUAAAGAAGACAGUCUGGUGAGCAGGUAUUCUUCCUGAAAAUGAAAAUAAAACAAUUAUUAACCGA